UCUCCGUAGGUGAACCUGCGGAGGGAUCAUUACAGAGUUCUCGCCCUCACGGGUAGAUCUCCCACCCACUGUUAUCGUUACUGUCGUUUCUUUGGCGGGCCGCCGGGUCCCCGGCCGCCGGCGCCUAGCUGCCGGCGCGCGCCCGCCAGAGGCCUUCAAACUCUGAAUGCUAGUGUCGUCUGAGUACUAUAUAAUAGUUAAAACUUUCAACAACGGAUCUCUUGGUUCUG
rnacentral:misc_RNA from 1 species